CAAGUCGAACGGUAAGGCCCCUUCGGGGGUACACGAGUGGCGAACGGGUGAGUAACACGUGAGCAACCUGCCCUUGACACUGGAAUAACAGUUGGAAACAGCUGCUAAUGCCGGAUAUGACCUUCGGUGGCAUCACCUGAAGGUGGAAAGUGAUUCAGCGGUCAAGGAUGGGCUCGCGGCCUAUCAGCUUGUUGGUGAGGUAACGGCUCACCAAGGCUUCGACGGGUAGCCGGCCUGAGAGGGCGACCGGCCACACUGGGACUGAGAUACGGCCCAGACUCCUACGGGAGGCAGCAGUGGGGAAUAUUGCACAAUGGGCGCAAGCCUGAUGCAGCAACGCCGCGUGCGGGAUGACGGCCUUCGGGUUGUAAACCGCUUUCAGUUCCGACGAAGCGCAAGUGACGGUAGGAACAGAAGAAGGACCGGCCAACUACGUGCCAGCAGCCGCGGUGAUACGUAGGGUCCGAGCGUUGUCCGGAAUUAUUGGGCGUAAAGGGCUUGUAGGCGGUUUGUCACGUCGGAAGUGAAAACUCAGGGCUUAACCCUGAGCCUGCUUCCGAUACGGGCAAACUAGAGGGAUGCAGGGGAGAAUGGAAUUCCUGGUGGAGCGGUGGAAUGCGCAGAUAUCAGGAGGAACACCGGUGGCGAAGGCGGUUCUCUGGGCAUUUCCUGACGCUGAGAAGCGAAAGCGUGGGGAGCAAACAGGCUUAGAUACCCUGGUAGUCCACGCCGUAAACGGUGGGCACUAGGUGUGGGGAACAUUCCACGUUCUCCGUGCCGAAGCUAACGCAUUAAGUGCCCCGCCUGGGGAGUACGGCCGCAAGGCUAAAACCCAAAGGAAUUGACGGGGGCCCGCACAAGCGGCGGAGCAUGCGGAUUAAUUCGAUGCAACGCGAAAACCUUACCUGGG
rnacentral:rRNA from 1 species